AUGAUGCCUUCCUCCUCCUCCUCCUCCCGCCGCCGUCGCCGCCGCCGCGGCAACCGCAACAGGCCUCCUCCUCCUCCAGCGCCGAAGACGCAGCCGGGGGAGGUCACGAGUGACGACGCGGAGCUUCCGCCGUCGGCCGCUGUCCACAGGCUGGAAUGCAUCCCAUUCUCACGCCCGGCUCCACCAAAACCUAACCCUCCACAGCCUCAACCCCAACCCCAUGGCGCGACGCACCCCUCCUCCUCCUCUCGCCGCCGUCGCGGCCGACGCGGCCGCAAGGGGACAGCACCAGCGCCAGCGCCUGCGGCGGAGGAGGCGAGGGACUGGGCGGGGCUCCUGCUGGACGCGCUCUGCGCCAUCCUCCACAAGCUCGACCACGUCGAGAUCCUGACCGGCGCGGGGCAGGUGUGCCGCUCCUGGCGCCGCGCCGCGCGCGACGUGCCCGCGCUCUGGCGCCGCAUCGACAUGCGCGGCCACGCGGACAUCCACGAGCUCUACCUCUGCGGGAUGGCGCAGGUCGCCGUCCGCCGCAGCGCGGGGCAGUGCGAGGCGUUCUGGGGCGAGUACGCCGCCCAUGAAGGCCUGAUCCUCUUCCUCGGCGACCAGGCACCAUCUCUGAAGAGUCUUCGCCUCAUCUCUUGUUACCGUGUCUUCAUUGAAGAAUUGGUGGAGGAAGAAUUGGUGGAGGCACUAAACAAGUUCCCUCUACUAGAGGAGCUCGAGCAUGCCCGCAGCUAA
rnacentral:rRNA from 1 species